rnacentral:lncRNA from 1 species
AGAGAGUUGAGCUAGAAUACUAUCGAUAGCAAACGGGUUCCGUUGUCACCCAUUUGUUUUCGAUGAUAGAGCCUCCAAAUCGAUGAUCGGUACCGUUGAAUAUGAUUUAUACCACUCGAAGUGUUUAGAAAUCAAAUUUCAAAUCUUUUCGACACCAUUUGCCUAAUGAUCAAAGGGUUUCAAAUUUUGUAUUUUUAAUGGUCGAUACGAGGCGUUUUCUCGUUUAACGGCGUAAAAAUAUCCAAAUCAAUAAAAUUUUUGUUAGAAAAUUCUUUAAACUAUUUAAAAUAAGAUUUACACUCUUGAUUUUGACUACAAGACUCCUAUCAUCAUUUUUUUAAAAAUAUUUAUUUUCAGCCGUUCAUUUUUGUGUCCACUCGAUGGGUAAGAGAAUAAUAUAAAAAAUGUAUGAAAUUUGAUUUCUAAAGACUUCGAGUGGUAUAGAUCAUGUUCAAUGCCAAUCGUCGAUUUAGAGGCUCCAUCAUUGAAAACAAAUAGAUAGCAACGGUGCCCGCUUGCUACCGAUAGUAUUCUAGCUCAACUCUCUCUCUCUCUCUCUCUCUCUCUCUCUUCCUCUCUCUCUCUCUCUCUCUCUCUCUCUCU